GCCCGCUCAGAAACUCGAAAGGCAUUCGACGGGGGCCCGCACAAGCGGAGGAGCAUGUGGUUUAAUUCGAUGAUACGCGAGGAACCUUACCUGGGCUCGAACGUAAGAUGACUGUAGGUGAAAGCUUACAUCUCUUCGGAGCAUUUUACGAGGUGCUGCAUGGUUGUCGUCAGCUCGUGCCGUGAGGUGUCGGGUUAAGUCCCAUAACGAGCGCAACCCUACCUUUAGCUGCCAUCAGGUAAUGCUGGGGACUCUAAAGGAACUGCCUACGCAAGUAGUGAGGAAGGCGGGGAUGACGUCAAAUCAGCACGGCCCUUACGUCCAGGGCUACACACGUGCUACAAUGGCCGAUACAGAGGGCAGCUACCUGGUGACAGGAUGCAAAUCUCCAAAGUCGGUCUCAGUUCGGAUCGGAGUCUGCAACCCGACUCCGUGAAGUUGGAUUCGCUAGUAAUCGCGCAUCAGCCAUGGCGCGGUGAAUACGUUCCCGGGCCUU
rnacentral:rRNA from 1 species